AUGCUUGGGAGGCAGCCUCUGCAUCUGCAUUUCCAUUCCCAGGGAGCUCAAAGCAAUCAAGUGAAUCCUUGCCAUCAGGACCAAUCCCUAGCGCCCAAGCAACGGCAGCUAAGAACCUUUAUUCGAGACCAUUAGUAGGUAGCACGUCGAGGUUCCAAGCCGAACCAAAGCAAUCUAUUUAUCCGAACCAACUAGCGAUCAAAUACCAGCCAAGGAUUCCACUCUCUCUCCACCUGAAUCGACGGUUUAAAUAUCUUAGUAAGAUAUAUCGGUUCAGCCAGCUAGCUGCAUGCCGUAUCGGGAAGCGCUGA